rnacentral:rRNA from 1 species
UGGGGAAUAUUGGACAAUGGGCGAAAGCCUGAUCCAGCCAUGCCGCGUGUGUGAAGAAGGUCUUCGGAUUGUAAAGCACUUUAAGUUGGGAGGAAGGGCAGUAAAUUAAUACUUUGCUGUUUUGACGUUACCGACAGAAUAAGCACCGGCUAACUCUGUGCCAGCAGCCGCGGUAAUACAGAGGGUGCAAGCGUUAAUCGGAAUUACUGGGCGUAAAGCGCGCGUAGGUGGUUCGUUAAGUUGGAUGUGAAAUCCCCGGGCUCAACCUGGGAACUGCAUUCAAAACUGACGAGCUAGAGUAUGGUAGAGGGUGGUGGAAUUUCCUGUGUAGCGGUGAAAUGCGUAGAUAUAGGAAGGAACACCAGUGGCGAAGGCGACCACCUGGACUGAUACUGACACUGAGGUGCGAAAGCGUGGGGAGCAAAACAGGAUUAGAUACCCUGGUAGUCCACGCCGUAAACGGUGUCAACUAGCCGUUGGGAGCCUUGAGCUCUUAGUGGCGCAGCUAACGCAUUAAGUUGACCGCCUGGGGAGUACGGCCGCAAGGUUAAAGC